CCAGUCCUGACGGAUGAGCAGAAGUCCCGAAUCCAGGCCAUGAAGCCCAUGACCAAGGAGGAGUGGGAUGCCCGGCAGAGCAUCAUCCGCAAGGUGGUGGACCCCGAGACGGGGCGCACCAGGCUUAUUAAGGGAGAUGGCGAGGUCCUAGAGGAAAUCGUAACCAAAGAACGACACAGAGAGAUCAACAAGGUGGGUGUGGCCCCUCUGCCUGCCAUCUGCCCCCAGCUCUGUUUGUGAUGUACCCCUCCUCCUGUGUGCUUUCUUCCCCAGCAAGCCACCCGAGGGGACGGCCUGGCCUUCCAGAUGCGAGCUGGGUUGCUUCCCUGAGGGCCCCCGCUGGCCAAGGCCUGUGGACGGCGCUGGCGGCCCAGCCUGGGCAGGUUUCAGGGUGCCAGUGGGAAGCCUGAUGGGUGCUGGUGGCCUUUCCCCCAUGGAUUGGUCUCUGGCCCAGCCCAGUCUCUUCUUAGGGGCAGGGGGUGGAGGUUGGGGUCACCGGCCUGCUUGGCACCCCCAUCUGAAAGAGCAGCACUUCUCAGCUAUUAAAGGCCCCCUGGAUAGA
rnacentral:sRNA from 1 species